GACGAACGCUGGCGGCGUGCUUAACACAUGCAAGUCGAACGGAAAGGCCCUGCUUGCAGGGUGCUCGAGUGGCGAACGGGUGAGUAACACGUGGGUGAUCUGCCCCUUACUUUGGGAUAAGCCUGGGAAACUGGGUCUAAUACUGGAUAGGACCAUGCUGUAGGUGGUGUGGUGGAAAGAUUAGUUUCGGUAAGGGAUGAGCUCGCGGCCUAUCAGCUUGUUGGUGGGGUAAUGGCCUACCAAGGCGUCGACGGGUAGCCGGCCUGAGAGGGUGGACGGCCACAUUGGGACUGAGAGACGGACCAGACUCCUACGGGAGGCAGCAGUGGGGAAUAGUGCACAAUGGGCGCAAGCCUGAUGCAGCGACGCCGCGUGGGGGAUGACGGCCUUCGGGUUGUAAACUCCUUUCAGCCAUGACGAAGCCCUUGUGGUGACGGUAGUGGUAGAAGAAGCACCGGCUAACUACGUG
rnacentral:rRNA from 1 species